rnacentral:rRNA from 1 species
ACAGAGGCCUCGAGCGUUAGGCGGAAUCACUGGGCUUAAAGCGUGUGUAGGCGGACCGUUAAGUACCUUGUGAAAUCCCACGGCUCACCCGUGGAACGGCUGGGUAUACUGGCGGUCUUGGGCCGACUAGGGGCAGCCGGAACAAGCGGUGGAGCGGUGAAAUGCGUAGAUAUCGCUUGGAACGCCGAAGGUGAAAACAGGUCGCUGGGGAUGUGCCGACGCUGAGACACGAAAGCCAGGGGAGCAAACGGGA